GAUGAACGCUGGCGGCGUGCUUAACACAUGCAAGUCGAACGGAAAGGCCCAAGCUUGCUUGGGUACUCGAGUGGCGAACGGGUGAGUAACACGUGGGUGAUCUGCCCUGCACUUCGGGAUAAGCCUGGGAAACUGGGUCUAAUACCGGAUAGGACCACUUCUUGGAUGUUGUGGUGGAAAGUUUUUUCGGUGUGGGAUGAGCUCGCGGCCUAUCAGCUUGUUGGUGGGGUAAUGGCCUACCAAGGCGUCGACGGGUAGCCGGCCAGAGAGGGUGUACGGCCACAUUGGGACUGAGAUACGGCCCAGACUCCUACGGGAGGCAGCAGUGGGGAAUAUUGCACAAUGGGCGCAAGCCUGAUGCAGCGACGCCGCGUGGGGGAUGACGGCCUUCGGGUUGUAAACUCCUUUCGCUAGGGACGAAGCGUUUUGUGACGGUACCUGGAGAAGAAGCACCGGCUAACUACGUG
rnacentral:rRNA from 1 species